GACAGAGGUGCCAAGCGUUAGGCGGAAUCACUGGGCUUAAAGCGUGUGUAGGCGGAAUCGUAAGUACCUUGUGAAAUCCCACGGCUCAACCGUGGAACUGCUUGGUAUACUGCGUUUCUUGGGCCAAUUAGGGGCAGCCGGAACAAAUGGUGGAGCGGUGAAAUGCGUAGAUAUCGUCUGGAACGCCGAAGGUGAAAACAGCUCGCUGGGGCUGCGCUGACGCUGAGACACGAAAGCCAGGGGAGCGAACGGG
rnacentral:rRNA from 1 species